GACGGAGGGUGCUAGCGUUGUUCGGAAUUACUGGGCGUAAAGGGCGCGUAGGCGGCCCUGUCAGUCGGGUGUGAAAGCCCGGGGCUCAACCCCGGAACGGCACCCGAGACGGCAGGGCUGGAGACCGGGAGGGGGCAGAAGUAUUCCGUGGGGACCGGUAAAAUGGGAUAAUCCACGGAGGACUACCGAUGGCGAAGGCAUCUGUCCAGAACGGAUCUGACGGUGAGGAACGAAAGCCAGGGGAGCGAACCGG
rnacentral:rRNA from 1 species